UGCCUGGUGGACGAUUGGCAAGUCGCUGUGACUAUUAUCCACAAAAAUGUAGGUUCAACUCCUACCCCGGCAU
rnacentral:tRNA from 1 species